CAAAAUACUUUUCCCUAAGCAAUUCUAAACAUAAUAAUAUUCUUUCCGGCCAAAAACUAUGGAUAAUUCCAUUUUUCUAACCUUUGUUGUGGGCUGUAUUGUGGGCUACUUAAUAGGCAAACAUAAAUAAAAGGUCUGCUUUCUUAAACAAUUUACACACAAACUGACUACUUUUGGAGAAAAUGGAUAUAGAUUGGGUGAUUACAUUUCUGGUUGGCUGUUUGGUGGGAUACUUGUUGGCCAAGAAUACAUAGACAAGUCAAAAAUCUCUCUCACUGGACUUUGAUUGGAAGGAAGGUAAACAAUAUUCUUCAGAUCAAAACUUAGAAGUCCAUUCUGGUUUCUAGAAAUCCUAAGCGAAACAGAAACAUGACGCACAUUAUCUCCUUUGCCUUGGGCGUGAUUAUUGGAAUGAUGACCUGCCGGAGGUGCUAGUACUCUAACCUUCUGAACUGGAAAUAAUCUAAAUUAAUAAAUACAAAUUAUGUACAACUAAGAGCAAGAAAUAUAAUUUUUAUCUUAAGAAAAUGUAAACUUUUUGUAGUUUUAAUGUAUUAAAAUAAAAGCCAUUUUGUGGAUUAAAACUUAUCCCAUCAGUUGGCCUUACUUAGAAAGUCUUUUUAGUUAAUUCAAACCAAAUUCGCCUCAUAAUUGCUGUGAAAUUUUCUUAAAAAUCAUUUUCUUAAGUAGACAUGGAGUGGAUUAUAGUCUUCAUCAUGGGCUGCAUUGUGGGUUUUCUCAUAUCAAAGAAUACCUAAAAGCGAUUAAGAUAGUUUUGUAGAAUACAAAAAUUGAUAAAAUAUUUAAAUAUUACUUUAUCACAAAAAGGAGGUCUAGUAGCCCUGGCUUUAGCUUUUAUAAAGUUUUCCUCUCAUCAAAAACAUUUAUUCCUUAGUCGACAGUCUAGACGAUAAGUACAUACCUUACGUAUGCUUUAAAAAAAUAAACGAAAUUUUCCGUAAAAAAAUCGGGGAGCUUCGAGUUCUAUUUUAAAAAAAAUAUGCAGCGGUUUAUUACAUUCAUCGUUGGAGGAAUCGUUGGUUUUCUCAUUGCCAAGAACACUCGUUAAACAUGGCUUAUGUUAUCUGCUUUGGAAUGGGCAUGGUUUUUGGCAUGUUCGUGUGCCGACGCUGCGAACCCUGAUUGAGAAGAAUCUAUCAAACCUAAUCAAACCUUAGACCUACAGAAAUUCAAGAUCCCAAGAUAAACUUUUAAUAUGAACUCCCAAUAAAACCCUCCUGAAAAAAUA